UGGGGAAUAUUGGGCAAUGGAGGCAACUCUGACCCAGCAACGCCGCGUGAGGGAAGAAGGUUUUCGGAUUGUAAACCUCUGUAAUCGGGGACGAAAAAAAUGACGGUACCCGAUAAGCAAGCUCCGGCUAACUACGUGCCAGCAGCCGCGGUAAUACGUAGGGAGCAAGCGUUGUCCGGAAUUACUGGGCGUAAAGGGAGCGUAGGCGGUUUUUUAAGUCAGAUGUGAAAUAUCCGGGCUCAACCUGGAGGGUGCAUUUGAAACUGGAGAACUUGAGUGCAGGAGAGGAAAGCGGAAUUCCUAGUGUAGCGGUGAAAUGCGUAGAUAUUAGGAGGAACACCAGUGGCGAAGGCGGCUUUCUGGACUGUAACUGACGCUGAGGCUCGAAAGCGUGGGGAGCAAACA
rnacentral:rRNA from 1 species